AAUUUUGGACAAUGGGGGAAACCCUGAUCCAGCCAUUCCGCGUGAGUGAAGAAGGCCUUCGGGUUGUAAAGCUCUUUCGCCGACGAAGAUAAUGACGGUAGUCGGAGCAGAAGCCCCGGCUAACUUCGUGCCAGCAGCCGCGGUAAUACGAAGGGGGCUAGCGUUGUUCGGAAUCACUGGGCGUAAAGCGCACGUAGGCGGAUUGUUAAGUCAGGGGUGAAAGCCUGGAGCUCAACUCCAGAACUGCCCUUGAUACUGGCAAUCUCGAGUCCGGAAGAGGUAAGUGGAACUGCGAGUGUAGAGGUGAAAUUCGUAGAUAUUCGCAAGAACACCAGUGGCGAAGGCGGCUUACUGGUCCGGUACUGACGCUGAGGUGCGAAAGCGUGGGGAGCAAAC
rnacentral:rRNA from 1 species